UAGACGUAGUUGAUCCUGGCUCAGAGCGAACGUUUGCGGCGGGCCUAACACAUGCAAGUCGAACGGGUUGGCAACAACCAGUGGCGCACGGGUGCGUAACACGUAGGUAAUCUACCCUCAAGUUCGGGAUAACGAUCUGAAAGGAUCGCUAAUACCGGAUGUGUUCCGAAAGGAAGAAAGACCCGCAAGGGUCGCUAGAGGACGAGCCUGCGGCCCAUCAGCUAGUUGGUGAGGUAAUGGCUCACCAAGGCUAAGACGGGUAGCUGGUCUGAGAGGAUGAUCAGUCACACUGGAACUGAGACACGGUCCAGACUCCUACGGGAGGCAGCAGUGGGGAAUAUUGCGCAAUGGGCGAAAGCCUGACGCAGCCACGCCGCGUGAGCGAUGAAGGCCUUCGGGUCGUAAAGCUCUGUGGGGAGAGACGAAGAAAGCCUGUGAAGAGCGGGCCUUGACGGUAUCUCCUUAGCAAGCACCGGCUAACUCCGUG
rnacentral:rRNA from 1 species